CAAGCCAAAAUCACUAACCCGCCAACUUCAAAAGCUUCAACCCAUUUUUUUUCAAAAUCUCUCCUUUUUCUUGUUUCCUCUAGCUUCUAUGGCAAGUUACACCCCUUUUAGCAACUGGGUUUCGCUUGUUUGAAUCUGAACCGACCGAUUUUCGAUCGGAGGGCCGGAAUUCCUUCUCCCCCAUGAACAUGAUCGUGAUGAUGUGGGUUUGUUAAAAUAAAGUUUGCUUCUUUUGGAAAGAAAGAGAAAAAGAGACUUGAGGGUUAAUUGGAGGGAACAGUUUCAAACGGUUCUCAGUCUUUUUAGCCAACUUCCCAUGCUGAAAUUCAAAUCUUUAUAUUAAAGAUUUGAGUAGAAAAUCCCAUUCUUUGCAGAGAAAGGCUCAAAAUGGACAGUUCUUCGACUUCUGACGAGAAUUCUCAUCUGGGUUAUCAAUCUUCGCUUUCUUCGACUGAUCAAACUGAUCAUUCACCCACCAGAACCACCCUUUAUUCGGUGUUGAGUACAGAUUCUUUCACUUACUAUCGAACAAAUUCAGAGAUUUCGUGUUUUUCAGAGCUCACCACAGAGGAAAGUAGCUACCCGGAAACUCCCUCCCUUGCUUGGCUGCUGACAAAAUCUCCCAAACUUGACAGGAGAGGCCUUGCGCAUGUUGAUUACGAUUCGGUGGAUUUAGGCGACAAAACCAUAGAACUGGAAACGAUGAAGGAAAGAUUCUCCAAGCUUUUGUUGGGUGAAGACAUGUCUGGAAGUGGGAAAGGCGUUUGCACGGCCGUGGCGAUUUCCAAUGCUAUGACCAACCUCUAUGCUUCUGUAUUUGGCAAUCAUCUGAGACUAGAACCCCUGCAUCCAGAAAAAAAGUUGAUGUGGAGGAGAGAAAUGAAUUGCCUUCUAUCCGUAUGCGAUUACAUCGUAGAACUUGUUCCUAAAUCAAAAGAUUUGCAUGAUGGAACAACCCUUGAGGUGAUGGCAGGCAUGCCGAGAUCGGAUAUUUACAUCAACCUCCCUGCCUUGAGAAAACUUGACACAAUGCUUCUUGAGAUACUGGAGGGUUUCCAGGAGACGGAGUUUUGGUACGUAGAGCAAGGGAGCAUGUCGGGAAACUCAUCGAGACCUGGCUCAUUCAGGAGGAUUGUUCAGCCGCUUCAGCGUCAGGAGGAGAAGUGGUGGCUGCCGGUUCCAUGUGUUCCCUCCGGAGGCCUGUCUGAGAAGUCGAGGAAGGACUUGCGACAUAAACGCGACUGUGCGAAACAAAUCCAAAAAGCAGCAAUGGCCAUCAAUGGUUCUGUUCUAGCAGAGAUGGAAAUUCCUGAUACAUAUUUGGCAUCACUUCCUAAGAGUGGAAAAGCAAGUGUAGGAGAAACGAUAUACCGCUAUAUCAACACCGCAGACAAAUUCUCCCCCAACCAUCUACUUGACCAUCUGAACAUAAGCUCUGAACUUGAAGCGCUUGAGCUAGCAGAUAAAGUGGAAGCGUCCAUAUACACUUGGAGGCGAAAAGCAUGUGUGAGCCAAUCGAAAUCAUCAUGGGAGUUGGUGAAGGAUUUCAUGUCGGAGGUCGACCGAACCGACAAGAAUCAGGUGUUAGCAGAGAGAGCUGAGGUCUUGUUGUAUUGCUUGAAGCAGAGGUACCCUGAACUUUCACAGACUAGUUUGGACACUUCCAAGAUUCAGUACAAUAGGGAUGUGGGACAAGCUAUCCUAGAGAGCUACUCAAGGGUGUUGGAAGGACUGGCAUUCAACACUGUUGCUUGGAUUGAAGAUGUGCUAUUUGUAGAUAAAUCCACAAAGGCCCAAGAUCCAUAGAAACUACCACAAAGAAGAUCUAUAACUACUCGAAGAGUGUUGCUCACAUGCAUUACCUCAAUGAUUUUCUGCAACAGAAGCUGACUCUACAGAGUUCAAAACCCUAAUCCAAGAACCUAAUAUGGCCUGUUUUCUUGCAUGCCCUAGAAGCCAAAAUUGUCAAGUGUAAUUUGAGAUACAUUACAUAGAUCCAGAACUUUUUAAGCAUAUGAGUUGAUUUAUAUGUGUAUGCACUUAUGUAGAUAUAGUGAGACAAUCUCUAUACCCUCACAAUCUGUUUCGACAAUUCUAUGACAGUUCAAUUCAUAACAUGAAUUAUUUUUCUUUCUUACCAGUCUUUCCUAAGAAUUUUUGAUAACUCAAGUGUUGGGGCCAGUUUACAUCGCACCUUAACUAAUCCUGGGGACCAAUGAGGAGUUCGGGCCAGUUUAUGUGUACCUCGACUAAUUCUGAGAACUGCUUUGCUCUGUAAGGAUUGGCCCUAAAAGAGUUGAUAGCACUUGAGAGGUUUCGAACCAAAUAAAGAACUACUAUUUUCCCUGUCUUCUCUCAGAAUUAUAGUUGAAGAACAAUUUUCCCAACAAAAAAAAGUUUUCAAAUUAAAAUGGGUGAAGCCAACAUUAGCAUCACAAAUCAAGUCCAAGAUGUUCAACAUCUUACAUCUUCAAUCCAAAUUACAAACUAAUAACUCUACAAACAUGACACAAAGAUAGUGAUAAUUUACAAAACAUAAAGGCCGCAAAUUUAACGGAGUAAAUAAGAAUUCACAUCCUGAUAACUAUAAUUCUGGAUCCGUACCUGAAUUUAAGCCUAGAGGGGGAAUCAAAAGACCGCAAUUACACAUCAGUUAAAGAAACACGCCCAAUGUUAAAGGGUCCUAUGGGUUUCUUUGGAGCAGUAGAAUUUGGAGAAGAGGAUUUGAAUGCAUCAACUACUGAGUUGCACUUAGUCCUCUCCCCUUUGUUUUCCUCCAAACACUUCCUUAGAGCUUCAGCGACAUUUUCUCCACCCACAGCGUUAUUUUUAGGAUUGUUAUUAAUCUUCUUUUUGCUGCCACAAUCACCACCACCACUCUCUCUCUUAUCUUCAUCCAUUGGUCAAAACCCAGAAAAAUUCUAGAGAGAGAGAGAGCAGCAGCAGCAGCAGCAGCAGCAGCAGCA